GAAACAUCUUCGGGUUGUGAGGUUAAGCGACUAAGCGUACACGGUGGAUGCCCUGGCAGUCAGAGGCGAUGAAGGACGUGCUAAUCUGCGAUAAGCGUCGGUGAGGUGAUAUGAACCGUUAUAACCGGCGAUUUCCGAAUGGGGAAACCCAGUGUGUUUCGACACACUAUCAUUAACUGAAUCCAUAGGUUAAUGAGGCGAACCGGGGGAACUGAAACAUCUAAGUACCCCGAGGAAAAGAAAUCAACCGAGAUUCCCCCAGUAGCGGCGAGCGAACGGGGAGGAGCCCAGAGCCUGAAUCAGUGUGUGUGUUAGUGGAAGCGUCUGGAAAGGCGCGCGAUACAGGGUGACAGCCCCGUACACAAAAAUGCACAUGCUGUGAGCUCGAUGAGUAGGGCGGGACACGUGGUAUCCUGUCUGAAUAUGGGGGGACCAUCCUCCAAGGCUAAAUACUCCUGACUGACCGAUAGUGAACCAGUACCGUGAGGGAAAGGCGAAAAGAACCCCGGCGAGGGGAGUGAAAAAGAACCUGAAACCGUGUACGUACAAGCAGUGGGAGCCUCUUAAUGGGGUGACUGCGUACCUUUUGUAUAAUGGGUCAGCGACUUAUAUUCUGUAGCAAGGUUAACCGAAUAGGGGAGCCGAAGGGAAACCGAGUCUUAACUGGGCGUUAAGUUGCAGGGUAUAGACCCGAAACCCGGUGAUCUAGCCAUGGGCAGGUUGAAGGUUGGGUAACACUAACUGGAGGACCGAACCGACUAAUGUUGAAAAAUUAGCGGAUGACUUGUGGCUGGGGGUGAAAGGCCAAUCAAACCGGGAGAUAGCUGGUUCUCCCCGAAAGCUAUUUAGGUAGCGCCUCGUGAAUUCAUCUCCGGGGGUAGAGCACUGUUUCGGCAAGGGGGUCAUCCCGACUUACCAACCCGAUGCAAACUGCGAAUACCGGAGAAUGUUAUCACGGGAGACACACGGCGGGUGCUAACGUCCGUCGUGAAGAGGGAAACAACCCAGACCGCCAGCUAAGGUCCCAAAGUCAUGGUUAAGUGGGAAACGAUGUGGGAAGGCCCAGACAGCCAGGAUGUUGGCUUAGAAGCAGCCAUCAUUUAAAGAAAGCGUAAUAGCUCACUGGUCGAGUCGGCCUGCGCGGAAGAUGUAACGGGGCUAAACCAUGCACCGAAGCUGCGGCAGCGACACUAUGUGUUGUUGGGUAGGGGAGCGUUCUGUAAGCCUGUGAAGGUGGCCUGUGAGGGUUGCUGGAGGUAUCAGAAGUGCGAAUGCUGACAUAAGUAACGAUAAAGCGGGUGAAAAGCCCGCUCGCCGGAAGACCAAGGGUUCCUGUCCAACGUUAAUCGGGGCAGGGUGAGUCGACCCCUAAGGCGAGGCCGAAAGGCGUAGUCGAUGGGAAACAGGUUAAUAUUCCUGUACUUGGUGUUACUGCGAAGGGGGGACGGAGAAGGCUAUGUUGGCCGGGCGACGGUUGUCCCGGUUUAAGCGUGUAGGCUGGUUUUCCAGGCAAAUCCGGAAAACCAAGGCUGAGGCGUGAUGACGAGGCACUACGGUGCUGAAGUGACAAAUGCCCUGCUUCCAGGAAAAGCCUCUAAGCAUCAGGUAACAUCAAAUCGUACCCCAAACCGACACAGGUGGUCAGGUAGAGAAUACCAAGGCGCUUGAGAGAACUCGGGUGAAGGAACUAGGCAAAAUGGUGCCGUAACUUCGGGAGAAGGCACGCUGAUAUGUAGGUGAAGCGACUUGCUCGUGGAGCUGAAAUCAGUCGAAGAUACCAGCUGGCUGCAACUGUUUAUUAAAAACACAGCACUGUGCAAACACGAAAGUGGACGUAUACGGUGUGACGCCUGCCCGGUGCCGGAAGGUUAAUUGAUGGGGUUAGCGGUAACGCGAAGCUCUUGAUCGAAGCCCCGGUAAACGGCGGCCGUAACUAUAACGGUCCUAAGGUAGCGAAAUUCCUUGUCGGGUAAGUUCCGACCUGCACGAAUGGCGUAAUGAUGGCCAGGCUGUCUCCACCCGAGACUCAGUGAAAUUGAACUCGCUGUGAAGAUGCAGUGUACCCGCGGCAAGACGGAAAGACCCCGUGAACCUUUACUAUAGCUUGACACUGAACAUUGAGCCUUGAUGUGUAGGAUAGGUGGGAGGCUUUGAAGUGUGGACGCCAGUCUGCAUGGAGCCGACCUUGAAAUACCACCCUUUAAUGUUUGAUGUUCUAACGUUGGCCCCUAAUCGGGGUUGCGGACAGUGUCUGGUGGGUAGUUUGACUGGGGCGGUCUCCUCCUAAAGAGUAACGGAGGAGCACGAAGGUUGGCUAAUCCUGGUCGGACAUCACGAGGUUAGUGCAAUGGCAUAAGCCAGCUUGACUGCGAGCGUGACGGCGCGAGCAGGUGCGAAAGCAGGUCAUAGUGAUCCGGUGGUUCUGAAUGGAAGGGCCAUCGCUCAACGGAUAAAAGGUACUCCGGGGAUAACAGGCUGAUACCGCCCAAGAGUUCAUAUCGACGGCGGUGUUUGGCACCUCGAUGUCGGCUCAUCACAUCCUGGGGCUGAAGUAGGUCCCAAGGGUAUGGCUGUUCGCCAUUUAAAGUGGUACGCGAGCUGGGUUUAGAACGUCGUGAGACAGUUCGGUCCCUAUCUGCCGUGGGCGCUGGAGAACUGAGGGGGGCUGCUCCUAGUACGAGAGGACCGGAGUGGACGCAUCACUGGUGUUCGGGUUGUCAUGCCAAUGGCACUGCCCGGUAGCUAAAUGCGGAAGAGAUAAGUGCUGAAAGCAUCUAAGCACGAAACUUGCCCCGAGAUGAGUUCUCCCUGAGACUUAGAGUCUCCUGAAGGAACGUUGAAGACGACGACGUUGAUAGGCCGGGUGUGUAAGCGCAGCGAUGCGUUGAGCUAACCGGUACUAAUGAACCGUGAGGCUUAACCUU
rnacentral:rRNA from 1 species